rnacentral:misc_RNA from 1 species
AGACUCGCUUUCGUCGCUCUCCACAUCUCCCGGUGUCUGCCUCGCCGACUGACCUGCCUGGGGUUUCCUCUGUUGACGUUUCCGCGAUGAAACACUCUUCAUACUCUGAGAUGUCACAAUUAAACUUGUAGAAAAUAAUGGGAUAAUAAAUCAACUCGGUAUUCGGAUACCGAAAAACGUUAUCCUCUUACCUUCAAGUACUGAUACUGCGAAAGCAUGAAACAAUGAAGAAUGAAACACAUUAUUGGCUUACCAACGACGUCAUUUAGUCACGGCACAAAAAUAGCAUCCUCAGUUUCAGUGGGGGACUGGCGCAUCCCUCUGUCAUUGCGUGUUCGUGAUACAUGAAGCUGUGAAGAAGGGUGUUGUUGGGGUGAAGUCCGGCCGCCGAUGCUUCUGCCGCACCUCCCAGGCCUCCCAGGUUUGCCCCUCCACCCUCCGAAAGCUGGAACGUAGCGUACGGCGAGAUGUCUUCCGCUGUCUCUGUAACCCAUCAGAGGUAUCGCCUACCUUUUAAAUUGUGUUAUGGGAAGAAUAAU